rnacentral:rRNA from 1 species
AGAAUCAACGCUGGCGGCGUGCCUAACACAUGCAAGUCGAACGAGAAAGUGGAGCAAUCCACGAGUAAAGUGGCGCACGGGUGAGUAACACGUGACUAACCUACCCUUGAGUGGGGAAUAACUGAGGGAAACCUUAGCUAAUACCGCAUAACACCUACGGGUCAAAGGAGCAAUUCGCUUAAGGAGGGGGUCGCGGCAGAUUAGUUAGUUGGCGGGGUAAUGGCCCACCAAGACAGUGAUCUGUAUCCGGCCUGAGAGGGCGCACGGACACACUGGAACUGAAACACGGUCCAGACUCCUACGGGAGGCAGCAGUGGGGAAUUUGCGCAAUGGGGGAAACCCUGACGCAGCAACGCCGCGUGGAGGAUGAAGACCCUUGGGUCGUAAACUCCUUUCGAUCGGGACGAUUAUGACGGUACCGGAAGAAGAGCCCGGCUAACUUCGUGCCAGCAGCCGC